UUCAAUUAAUGGUUCUCCCUCACAAAAAUGAGAACGUUGAGGUCUCUGCUUCACCACCAAUGCCACCUUCAUCUAUUCCAAGCGCGUCACCGUCGACGCCACCUUCAUAACCAUCUCUGCUUCAAGAUCAUUGAGGUCUCUGCCAAGCACGUCAAUGUCCAUCUCAAGAUCACCGACUCCUACUGCUAGCUAUUGAAGGUCUUACACUACAAUGUGUCAGUGUUGUUCUCAAAGGCUCUGGCCGACAUUAGGGCACAAAUUUGUUCGGGGUUUUGACAUAACAGUGACGAUCGCAAGAAUCCAGCUAAAGCCACGCCGGUUCAUCCUAGAAAGACUAUCCAAGCAAUAAGGGAUGGUGAUGAUGAUGUUAUAGCUGUUGGUGGUGAUGGUACUCUUCAUGAGGUUAGAUGGCAGGUGGCCUGGGUAAUUUUGUAGAUGGCUCUGCAGUUCUUACUCAAAGGAUUGAGAUGAAACCCGGUUUUACAGGAAGACUUUACUAAAUGUUGCAUCCAUUCGCAACUGAGUUCCUUUAUAGAGAGCAAGAAUUCCACAGGACAUGAGUUCUAGGGUACAAAGGUGAGAUGAUAUAUGGGUGGCAAUGCUGUUGAGUGUGUAUCUUUAUUGUGUUCUCUUCGAAUCAUAUUUGUAUCAAUUCCUUUGGACAUAUAUUGUCUUGACAAGCUUGUGCCAAUUACACUUUUACCCAUUUCUGUGGUGGUAUUUUAUUAUUCUCCUGUAGAACUACGACUGGAAAUUUGUUUCCCUAAAAUGUGCAUGGAGCACAAAACAUAUUGAUCAAGAAUUGCUUAAUAUCUUCUAUUGUACAUAGGCAUGUUAGUAAUUUUCAAGUAGUCUUAACUUGCAUCUUUUCCUGUGCUAGUUGAUGCAGCUGUUAUUAGA